rnacentral:rRNA from 1 species
CAAAGUAUCCGCCAGAAAAUUACGGGCGAAAAGCCUAAAACUCAAAGGACUUGGCGGUGCUCCACACCCGACUUAGAGGAGCCUGUCCUAUAAUCGAUACCCCACGAUAAACCUCACCAUUCAUUGGCAAGACAGCCUAUAUACCGCCGUCGACAACUUACCCCAUGAGGGCAUAACAGUAGGUAAAACAGUUUCGCCAACUAAAACGUCAGGUCAAGGUGUAGCUUAUAGAAUGGAAGAGAUGGGCUACAUUUUUUAAAAUAAAACACACGGCAUGGAACCGUGAAACCAGUUCCUAAAGGAGGAUUUAAUAGUAAAAUUAACAAGAAAAUUAAUUU